GAUGAAGAACGCAGCAAAAUGCGAUAAGUAAUGUGAAUUGCAGAACUCAGUGAAUCAUCGAAUCUUUGAACGCACAUUGCGCCCGCUGGUAUUCCGGCGGGCAUGCCUGUUCGAGCGUCAUUUCAACCCUCAAGCCCCCGGGUUUGGUGUUGGGGAUCGGCUCUGCCCUUCUGGGCGGUGCCGCCCCCGAAAUACAUUGGCGGUCUCGCUGCAGCCUCCAUUGCGUAGUAGCUAACACCUCGCAACUGGAACGCGGCGCGGCCAUGCCGUAAAACCCCAACUUCUGAAUGUUGACCUCGGAUCAGGUAGGGAUACCCGCUGAACUUAAGCAUAUCAAUAAGCGGAGGA
rnacentral:misc_RNA from 1 species